AGAGUUUGAUCAUGGCUCAGAGCGAACGCUGGCGGCGUGCUUAACACAUGCAAGUCGAGUGCGCGGUUGUAGCAAUACAACUGGCGCACGGCGCACGGGUGCGUAACACGUGGGUACCUGCCCUUUGAUGGGGAAUAACCCCGCGAAAGCGGGGCUAAUUCCGCAUAAGAUCCGCAAGGAUGAAAGCCGUAAGGCGUCGAAGGAGGGGCCUGCGCACGAUUAGCUAGUUGGUAGGGUAACGGCCUACCAAGGCUAUGAUCGUUAGCUGGUCUGAGAGGAUGGCCAGCCACACUGGAACUGAGACACGGUCCAGACUCCUACGGGAGGCAGCAGUGGGGAAUCUUGCACAAUGGGCGAAAGCCUGAUGCAGCGACGCCGCGUGGGGGAUGAAGCUUCUCGGAGUGUAAACCCCUUUCGACCCGGACGAAUACCUCGCAAGAGGGGUGACGGUACGGGUAUAAGAAGCCCCGGCUAACUACGUGCCAGCAGCCGCGGUAAGACGUGGGGGGCCAGCGUUGCUCGGAAUUACUGGGUGUAAAGGGUCAGUAGGCGGUGUGGCAAGUCGGUAGUGAAAUCUCUGGGCUUAACUCAGAGGCUGCUUCCGAAACUGCUGUGCUUGAGUGUGGGAGAGGCGCGUGGAAUUGCAGGUGUAGCGGUGAAAUGCGUAGAUAUCUGCAGGAACACCCGUGGCGAAAGCGGCGCGCUGGACCACAACUGACGCUGAAUGACGAAAGCUAGGGGAGCAAACAGGAUUAGAUACCCUGGUAGUCCUAGCCCUAAACGAUCAGGACUUGGGGUGCCACCCGUUCAGUGUCGUCCCGGAGCUAACGCGUUAGUCCUGCACCUGGGGAGUACGGUCGCAGACUGAACUCAAGGAAUUGACGGGGCCCGCACAGCGGUGGAACAUGUGGUC
rnacentral:rRNA from 1 species